UUUGCUCCUGGAUAAGAUGUUGAUGUUGAUGGUCUGACCUGCCACCUAAGACCAUGCUGAGGUAAGUUUUCUGUGUUGCCAACAUGAAGAAUAUUGAUUUCCAUGAGUUGAUCUGCCAUUGGAACUGAAGUUGAUAUCUGUAAUUCAUUCUGUCCCUGGAACCAUGUUGAUACCACUGAUUCUUGCUUAUUUUGUUUAUCAUGUUUAUUACCACGAUCUGACCUACCAUGCUGUCCCUACUGCUUCUGGAAGCCAUGUUGAUGCCUGUGGUUCUUGGUGCCCAGGGAUAUGAUAUUGAUGUCGGUGUUCUGUUCUGACUCCUGAAUCCAUGCUGAGGCACCACAUUGAUGUCACUGAUCCUUGCUGCAUGUUUUAACUAUGUUGAUAUCCAUGAGCCAACCCUCCAUACAAAACUAUGUUGAUGUUAUGGAUCCUUCCUACUUCUGCUAUGUUGCUGCCCAUGAUCUGACCUACCAUUCAACCAAACUGCUUCAGGGAGCCAUGGCGAUGCUGGCGGUCCUUGUUCCCCCUGGAUG